rnacentral:tRNA from 1 species
UCCCUGGAGGUCUAGUGGUUAGGCCACAGCGCUCUCACUGCCGCAGCCUGGGUUGAAUGCCCAGCCAGGGAA